rnacentral:lncRNA from 1 species
GGAGAUUUGUCCAGCCCUACUAGAAUUUAUGAAUUUUUCCUGAAAAUGAAAUCAUAAUUGCCCAUUAAGCUGGCCUGUUAAGUACGAAGCCGACAGUCCCUAUAGUACAUCUGGAAUCCCAGCCUUAUGAACAUUUAGGCCCUCAACCUUUAAAUGGAGCAUCUGGGCAUUCGAGGCCCAAGAAUUCAUCAUAGCAUAAAUUUAGGUCGAAUUACUCGGGAUUUUAGCCACUGAUCCAUCUCAAUGAGUUCAGGUUCGUCAGUAUCCUCUACAAAUCCUUUACGAACUCAUACCCCGAAAAACAUAGCAGCAAAACAGAAGAAAGAAGCCAAUAAUACCGACAGCACUUGCUAAAGAUAUGGCAAGGAGUUCUUUCGUCAUAUAGAACCUAAGAACAAAAAUUUGCAGAAAUUGAUCAGCUGAAAAUUGUCAACAUUGGAGCUUAAACAAAAAAAGAAAGAUACCUUGUUUGAAAUGUCGAAGUUAACAUAUUGCAAGUCAUUUUAUAACCAAUUGAUGUACUGUAGUCUGAUGCGAUGCAGCAAGAAUGUAGUAGCAUAAUGGGACGGAUCAACGCAGAAUAAUUUGACAUUCCUGCGACAAUGUUUCCGGAGUUAAACACAUAUCUAGAAGCAUGCAGCUAAAAGUUAUAUUUACCAGGCAGCUUCUUCUGGAGGAGAUAGAACAUAAGAAUGAUCGAUAUUGCAGUUGAAAAUGACGUUGAGAGUGCCUGGAUAAAUGAAAAUAAUGCAGUUAGAAACUGUCUUGUUAUGACUUGUCCUUCUCAUAAAGAUGGUAACAUACCAGUCCCCGUGCACCUAGGUGAUAUCUGGUGAUCGAAAGCCAGUUCAAAAUGGCAUUCAAAGCAAUAGCACCUACACUGACCAGAAAAGGUCCCUUCCCAUCACCAAGGGCAUAAAAUGUUGAGUAGUAAACUUGAUUUUUGGACUAAAUCAUAUGGGCUUAAGGAUUUUGCUUGUAGGCCCAAAUCAAUUAAAAGGACUAAAUCAUAUGGGCUUAAGGAUUUUGCUUGUAGGCCCAAAUCAAUUAAAAGGCCCAACAUGCAUAGCAUUUCUAGAAGAGCAUUAUCUAGAAAAAUCUAUAUAAAUAUCUACUAGAAAAAUCU